AAAACCACCCCAAAACAAAUCAAACCCCUCAGAGCUCAAAUCAAACCCCAUCAUGUUAUAUGGAGCAGGAGACGCGAACUUGGAGUUGAACUGAUGUCCGACAGAGAGAAGAGAGAAGUAGGAGCUACAUGCGCCUUUCAUUGAAAACCUGUUCAGUGAGACGAGCGCAUCUAAGCCGUGCGUUUUUUGGCCACGGUGUCGGUUACAUCGUUCUCAGUUUGUGCACAUAUUUCUACUGGCAAACAGUAGGAUACUUAGAGACGCGAGAGGUGUAGUGUAUGGAGAGUGGGGACUUAUUUUGACACCUAAUACAGUUUCACAUGUUCGAAGAUUCCAACAACCUACGUGGGACUGAGAACCGUGUAAAGCAAUAAGAGGCGUUACAGAAAAGGCACAUAUUCAACUCCGACGGUUGAGAAGCGGAGUGAUUUUGGACUGCAUGUGCUUAUGAGGACUGCUUUGUGCCCUGAAGAAUCCCCAACAAAUGUUCCAAUGCGUUAAAAGUUACCCGGUGGAUUUUGAUCACAGUUCUACUUUCUUUUGAGACCUGGUUAAUUCGAUAUUUGAACUAAGAAGGCUACGAAACUGGAAUACCUAAGUGGGUAUACUUAAAUUUACAACGCACUUAUGGUGAGACAUUUUUAAGUGGUCUUAUAACGGAAUUGGGCUAUCUAUCGACUCUGAGCCGUGCAAGGGUUCGAAAAAUCGGGAUAUAGGAGUAGUUUUAAGAAGCUCUGCUACACUUGGAGUAAGCAUCAAUAGGACACACCUGACAAUCCUCCACCAGUUAUACAAAGAGAAUGGUCUAAUGCCAAACCAAGCAUAGGUUACACCUGAAGCAUGAGGACUUGUAUCGAGUGGUGAACUUCAUCAACAACUACGCAGAGGGUAAUGCACUAGUAUUACCUGAACGCCACUCAGGACACAAACACUUUGGUGGAAAACUGCUACCAUCUCAUAUGACAAAAGCAGCAGUGUGGCGUCUCUACAAGGAAUCGAUGACAACUCUUUAAGCUGUUAAGUCAGCCAAGCUGAAGAAGCAAGAGAAGCAUCUCCAGGUUGUUCAGUGAGCAGUCUGUCUACCAGAAGAUGGCUGCUGACUGCAAGACCACCUGUCAAGACCUGCAGUUGUCUCUGGGGGCCCCUACUGAACCAGCAAGCAAAGACAUCAGGAUGCAUUACAGCUUUGAUUUUGCUCAACAACCAGGCCCCAUCUACUUAUUAACUCCUCGCAAGUGUGUCUUGUUUGGUGUCUGCUGUGAAGGAAUACCACAAGUCAACACGCCAUCCAGAAAAGGCAGCAGCGCAGUCAUCAACUACAUGCACCAUUUCUUCACCAACUACGGAGUUGGGGAAACAAGUCUGGACCGGAAUUGUGAUAACUGCAGUGGACAAAACAAGAACAUGUUUGUGCUCUGGUAUUGUGCCUGGUGAACCAUGCACAAGCUCCACUACAGUUUGGACCUUCACUGCCUGAUUACAGGCCACACCAAGUUUCCCCCGACUGGUGCUUGGACAUCCUCAAGACCAGAGUGAACACUUUGUCUGAGAUUGCUGGUGUUGUGAAGGACGGCACUGUGACAGGGGUCAACAUCCCACCUCUGGUUGGAUUGAAGGAUGAUACGGUGCUGGUGGAAAGCUAUGGCUGGCAACAACACCUGACUCUGUUUCACAGAUCAAGCAGUACCAGCACUUCAGCUUCGAUGCUCUGGAGACUGGUGUUGUCACAAUGCUGACACCCUUCCUCCCAUAGAUGGUCUGCCCGUAUAAGCACCACCUGAACUGGACACAACCUGACAAACGUAUCUUUUUGGGAGGAUUGGGGAGUUUUGCGAAUAAGGCUAUGGACAUCAUAUGCCCUGCACCGGAGUCAGAGGCAGGACAAACAGGCUAUACGAAUAUAGAUUCCCGUGUUCAUGCGUGGUUUGGACGGACCAGUCAUCAGCACUAUCUGCAGUGCCUCUAUUGAUGACUCUCUCCUAACACGCACGCCAUAUGUUGCUGCUACUAUUUUAUUUUAUUCUGCUUCCACUUUACCCCUGAUUGUAUGCAUAUAACUACUCAUCUAUCACUGAUAUUGCUCUUGUGCAUACUGUAUAUUAUUUUAUUGAUAUUGACACUAUCCAUUUCUGAAAAUCCAAGUAACCAUUUGACUGUACCGUUUACAUCUUCUGUAGAGACCCAUCCACUUAGCAAGACUUAGCAAAAUAUUGAUAUAUAAAAUUAAUUUUGACGUGUGGUCGUAACAUGAUUUUGUAACAUACCACAAUAUCAUAUGACCGUAUCAAGUGUUCACCACAUAAAUAUAUGGUGCAUGCAUCUGUAUAUGUACUGUACAUGUGCACCUCAUUCAGGUUGCAUGGCCUUAACCUAUGUAUGGAAUACCAUAUGAUAAGUGUGUGUGUGUGUAACAGUAUAUAAAGUAUGCUAAUGAAUGGAUGUGAAGGCAUUUUUGGGGGAUAUCUGUACAUUACUUUACUAUUUAUAUUUUUGGCAAAUUUUACUUCACUACAUUCCAUACAUUUUCUUUGACACCCAAAGGUACUUUUUACAUUAUGAUGGGAAAAUUGUCUAAUUCAAACACUUAUGAAGAGAACAUCUCUGCUGCAUUUGAUCUGGCAGACUCACUAAACACAAAUGCUUUGUUUGUAAAUUAUGUCUGAGUGUUGUAGUGUUCCCCUGGCUUAUCGUUAAUAAAAAAAUAU